rnacentral:rRNA from 1 species
CGGCGGACGGGUGAGUAACACGUGGAUAACCUACCUAUAAGACUGGGAUAACUUCGGGAAACCGGAGCUAAUACCGGAUAAUAUAUUGAACCGCAUGGUUCAAUGGUGAAAGACGGUUUUGCUGUCACUUAUAGAUGGAUCCGCGCCGUAUUAGCUAGUUGGUAAGGUAACGGCUUACCAAGGCAACGAUGCGUAGCCGACCUGAGAGGGUGAUCGGCCACACUGGAACUGAGACACGGUCCAGACUCCUACGGGAGGCAGCAGCC